rnacentral:rRNA from 1 species
GUCUAUGUUCCUUGGAACAGGACGUCACAGAGGGUGAGAAUCCCGUGCGAUGAUGCCUCAACCAGUACAAGACCCUCUCGACGAGUCGAGUUGUUUGGGAUCCGUAGCUCUAAGUGGGUGGUAAAUUCCAUCUAAAGCUAAAUACUGGCGAGAGACCGAUAGCGAACAAGUACAGUGAUGGAAAGAUGAAAAGCACUUUGAAAAGAGAGUGAAACAGUACGUGAAAUUGUUGAAAGGGAAGGGUAGGAGGUGAGGGGAAGAGCUGCUUAGGCGCGGGAGAUAAACAAGCAGGAAGCGCUUCGGUGCGGCCUGGUAAAUAUCCCGUGCUUGUGU